CUUGCUUCUCUGAUGUUAGCGGCGGACGGGUGAGUAACACGUGGAUAACCUACCUAUAAGACUGGGAUAACUUCGGGAAACCGGAGCUAAUACCGGAUAAUAUUUUGAACCGCAUGGUUCAAAAGUGAAAGACGGUCUUGCUGUCACUUAUAGAUGGAUCCGCGCUGCAUUAGCUAGUUGGUAAGGUAACGGCUUACCAAGGCAACGAUGCAUAGCCGACCUGAGAGGGUGAUCGGCCACACUGGAACUGAGACACGGUCCAGACUCCUACGGGAGGCAGCAGUAGGGAAUCUUCCGCAAUGGGCGAAAGCCUGACGGAGCAACGCCGCGUGAGUGAUGAAGGUCUUCGGAUCGUAAAACUCUGUUAUUAGGGAAGAACAUAUGUGUAAGUAACUGUGCACAUCUUGACGGUACCUAAUCAGAAAGCCACGGCUAACUACGUGCCAGCAGCCGCGGUAAUACGUAGGUGGCAAGCGUUAUCCGGAAUUAUUGGGCGUAAAGCGCGCGUAGGCGGUUUUUUAAGUCUGAUGUGAAAGCCCACGGCUCAACCGUGGAGGGUCAUUGGAAACUGGAAAACUUGAGUGCAGAAGAGGAAAGUGGAAUUCCAUGUGUAGCGGUGAAAUGCGCAGAGAUAUGGAGGAACACCAGUGGCGAAGGCGACUUUCUGGUCUGUAACUGACGCUGAUGUGCGAAAGCGUGGGGAUCAAACAGGAUUAGAUACCCUGGUAGUCCACGCCGUAAACGAUGAGUGCUAAGUGUUAGGGGGUUUCCGCCCCUUAGUGCUGCAGCUAACGCAUUAAGCACUCCGCCUGGGGAGUACGACCGCAAGGUUGAAACUCAAAGGAAUUGACGGGGACCCGCACAAGCGGUGGAGCAUGUGGUUUAAUUCGAAGCAACGCGCAGAAACCUUACCA
rnacentral:rRNA from 1 species